AGAAAACAACCGAAGAGCAAGAGGAAAAUAUCGAAAAUCGAUGGCUGCAAGAAGCGCCAACCAUUGCCUCGUUGCUGGAAAAUGGUGAAUUUAAGCAGCAGGAGCUACCCACGCCGUUCGAUUCGGCCUCUUCCGUUCCUGUUGAGGAGCAAAAAGGAGAUUGUUUGAAGAGCAUCCAUUCGUUGCUGAGAAA